GUCCACGCCGUAAACGAUGAGUGCUAGGUGCUGUGGGUAUUGACCCCCGCGGUGCCGCAGCCAACGCGUUAAGCACUCCGCCUGGGGAGUACGGCCGCAAGGCUAAAACUCAAAGGAAUUGACGGGGGCCCGCACAAGCGGUGGAGCAUGUGGUUCAAUUCGACGCAACGCGCAGAACCUUACCUGGGUUAAAUCCACUAGAAGAUUGCAGAGAUGCGAUUGUGCUCUUCGGAGAGCUAGUGAGAAGGUGCUGCAUGGCUGUCGU
rnacentral:rRNA from 1 species